GGAGGGAUCAUUACAGAGUGCCCCUGGCUCUGCCAACCCCGCGAACCAUACAUUGUUGCCUCGGCGGGCAUCCCGGCAUGUCCGGAGCCCGCCGCAGGCCCUAAAAACCCAUUGAUUUAGUUGUCCAUCUGACUUAGAUUCUUAAAUGAACUAAAAACUUUCAACAACGGAUCUCUUGGCUCCGGCAUCGAUGAAGAACGCAGCGAAAUGCGAUAACUAGUGUGAAUUGCAGAAUUCAGUGAAUCAUCGAGUCUUUGAACGCAACUUGCGGCCGCCGGCAUUCCGGCGGCCAUGCCUGUCCGAGCGCCACUACAACCCCUCAGGCCCUGUGCCUGGCGUUGGGGUGCUGUUUCUCUGAAACGGCGCCCCGAAAGAUAGUGGCAGCGGCGCCCGUGGCGCGACGUGUGUAGUAACAUUUCACUGACACGAAGCCCCGGCGUUGCCCGCCGACAAGAACCCCAAUCUUUUAUCAGGUUGGCCUCGGAUCAGGUAGGAUUACCCGCUGAACUUAAGCAUAUCAAUAAGCGGAGGAAAAGAAAGCAACUGCGAUUGCCCUAGUAACGGCGAGUGAAGCGGCAACAGCCCAGAUUUGAAAUCUGGCUCCCUUUGGGGGUCCGAGUUGUAAUCUGCAGAGGGUAGGUCCGGUGAGCCUCCCGCCCAGUCUCCCUGGAAGGGGGCGCCGUAGAGGGUGAUAGCCCCGUGCGGCGGGCUGGCGAGCCGGUGUGACCGCCCUUCGAAGAGUCGCAUAGUUUGGGAAUGCUGUGCAAAGUGGGAGGUAUGCUCCUCCUAAGGCUAAAUACAGGCCGGAGACCGAUAGCGCACAAGUAGAGUGAUCGAAAGAUGAAAAGCACCUUGAAAAGGGGGUUAAACAGUACGUGAAAUUGUUGAAAGGGAAGCGCCCGCGACCAGACUCGCGGCUGGUGGAUCAUCCUGCCCUUCGCAGGUGCGCUCUGCCAGCCGCGGGCCAGCAUCGGUCAGGCCCGCCGUGCAAAGACAUCAGGAACGUGGCCCUCUUCGGGGGGUGUUAUAGCCUGGUGUGUAAUGCGUUGGGCCUGUCCGAGGACCGCGCUCCGGCAAGGAUGCUGGCGUAAUGGUCGUCGGCGGCCCGUCUUGAAACACGGACCAAGGAGUCGUCCUCGCGCGCGAGUGUGCGGGUGUAAAGCCCUGCGCGUAGUGAAAGCGAACGCUGGUGGGAGCCUCGGCGCACCACCGACCGAUCCUGAUGUAUUCGGAUGGAUUUGAGUAAGAGCGUGCGGGGCCGGACCCGAAAGAGGGUGAGCUAUACCUGACUAGGGCGAAGCCAAGGGAAACCUUGGUGGAGGCUCGCAGCGGUUCUGACGUGCAAAUCGAUCGUCAAAGUUGGGUAUGGGGGCGAAAGACUAAUCGAACCUUCUAGUAGCUGGUUCCUGC
rnacentral:misc_RNA from 1 species